rnacentral:rRNA from 1 species
AGCGAACGCUGGCGGCAGGCUUAACACAUGCAAGUCGAGCGGGCAUCCUUGUGUUGUCAGCGGCAGACGGGUGAGUAACGCGUGGGAACGUGCCCUUCGGUUCGGAAUAACUCAGGGAAACUUGAGCUAAUACCGGAUACGUGCGAGAGCAGAAAGGUUUAUCUGCCGAAGGAUCGGCCCGCGUCUGAUUAGCUAGUUGGUGAGGUUACGGCUCACCAAGGCGACGAUCAGUAGCUGGUCUGAGAGGAUGAUCAGCCACACUGGGACUGAGACACGGCCCAGACUCCUACGGGAGGCAGCAGUGGGGAAUAUUGGACAAUGGGGGCAACCCUGAUCCAGCCAUGCCGCGUGAGUGAUGACGGCCUUAGGGUUGUAAAGCUCUUUUCUCCGGGACGAUAAUGACGGUACCGGAGGAAUAAGCCCCGGCUAACUUCGUG